rnacentral:rRNA from 1 species
CACGUAGGGUGCGAGCGUUGUCCGGAAUUAUUGGGCGUAAAGAGCUCGUAGGCGGUCUGUCGCGUCUGCUGUGAAAAUCCAGGGCUCAACCCUGGACCUGCAGUGGGUACGGGCAGACUAGAGUGCGGUAGGGGAGAUCGGAAUUCCUGGUGUAGCGGUGAAAUGCGCAGAUAUCAGGAGGAACACCGGUGGCGAAGGCGGAUCUCUGGGCCGAUAUUGACGCUGAGGAGCGAAAGCGUGGGGAGCGAACAGG